GGGGAAAGGGAGGAGAGAGAGAAGGAGGGAUAGAGAGAGGGAGAGGGAUAGAGAAAGAAGGAGGAGAUUUAAAGAAGAGUGAAAGAGUGAAAAAUAGUGAGAGAGCGAGAGACAGAGAGAGAGCGAGUCCUCUAGGUAUCCUCUAGCUGUCCUCUAGGUAUCCUCUAGGUAUCCUCUAGCUGUCCUCUAGGUAUCCUCUAGGUAUCCUCUAGGUAUCCUCUAGCUGUCCUCUAGGUAUCCUCUAGGUAUCCUCUAGCUGUCCUCUAGGUAUCCUCUAGGUAUCCUCUAGGUGUCCUCUAGCUAUCCUCUAGGUAUCCUCUAGCUGUGCUCUAGGUGUCCUCUAGCUAUCCCUCUAGGUACUUUCCCCAGCCCAGCUCUCUUUCAUCAGUGCAGAUCAAGGAAAGGAGUUGAAUCAGAAGAAGAGACAAAACGGGUGUGUCUCAAAUGUAACCCUUUUCACUUCAUAGUGCCCUACUUUUGACCCCCGAACUUUAACCUUGGUCAAAAGUUGUGCACUAUGAAUAAGGUCCCAUUUGGAACGCAGACAAUACUGUAUGUCUAGGCUAUUGACACGCACCUAGAGGGGGAUUGACAUAUAGAUAAUUGAAGAGGUUCAUCCACAGGAGGAUAAAACAGAGUGGUACAGGAGGAUAAAACAGAGCGGUACAGGAGGAUAAAACAGAGCGGUACAGGAGGAUAAAACAGAGCGGUACAGGGGGAUAAAACAGAGCGGUACAGGAGGAUAAAACAGAGCGGUACAGGAGGAUAAAACAGAGCGGUACAGGAGGAUAAAACAAGGGUACAGGAGGAUAAAACAGAGCGGUACAGGAGGAUAAAACAGCGGUAGAGGAGGAUAAAACAGAGCAGUACAGGAGGAUAAAACAGAGCGGUACAGGAGGAUAAAACAGAGCAGUACAGGAGGAUAAAACAAGGGUACAGGAGGAUAAAACAGAGCUGUACAGGAGGAAAGAGAAGAACGGGGGAUUUUACACAGAAAGAAAGAGGAUGAAGAGAGGACAGGAAUUCAGUUUCGAAGGUUUCUCAUAACACAACUGAAAAGGGAAGAAGUUAUUUACUCCACUUCAAAUAUGAACCAGUUUCCUUCCAAUGCAUGAUCACAUGGGGGUGUGGCCCAAUUGUCACACUAUUCACUAUAUA
rnacentral:lncRNA from 1 species